rnacentral:rRNA from 1 species
UACAGAGGGGGCAAGCGUUGUUCGGAAUUACUGGGCGUAAAGGGCGCGUAGGCGGCCUGUUAAGUCGAACGUGAAAUCCCCGGGCUCAACCCGGGAACUGCGUCCGAUACUGGCAGGCUUGAAUCCGGGAGAGGGAUGUGGAAUUCCAGGUGUAGCGGUGAAAUGCGUAGAUAUCUGGAGGAACACCGGUGGCGAAGGCGGGCAUCCUGGACCGUAUUGACGCUGAUGCGCGAAAGCCAGGG